GAUGAACGCUGGCGGCGUGCCUAAUACAUGCAAGUCGAGCGAACAGACGAGGAGCUUGCUCCUCUGACGUUAGCGGCGGACGGGUGAGUAACACGUGGAUAACCUACCUAUAAGACUGGGAUAACUUCGGGAAACCGGAGCUAAUACCGGAUAAUAUAUUGAACCGCAUGGUUCAAUAGUGAAAGACGGUUUUGCUGUCACUUAUAGAUGGAUCCGCGCCGCAUUAGCUAGUUGGUAAGGUAACGGCUUACCAAGGCGACGAUGCGUAGCCGACCUGAGAGGGUGAUCGCCCACACUGGAACUGAGACACAGUCCAGACUCCUACGGGAGGCAGCAGUAGGGAAUCUUCCGCAAUGGGCGAAAGCCUGACGGAGCAACGCCGCGUGAGUGAUGAAGGUCUUCGGAUCGUAAAACUCUGUUAUUAGGGAAGAACAAAUGUGUAAGUAACUAUGCACGUCUUGACGGUACCUAAUCAGAAAGCCACGGCUAACUACGUG
rnacentral:rRNA from 1 species